CGCUCUCUGAAAUUACGUCACCCCACGUUUGUUACUCCAGUUACCGUGGUAACUCAUCUUCCAAUGCCAGAACACGUCUAAGAGAAUUGUAAUAUUUGAAAGGUCAUUGUACUUUUAAGCAAAUGGCGCCUGUUAGAGUGCAUAUUGAAUAUUGCUCGAAAUGAGGUUAUCGCACUCGCUUCCAGAAAUUACAGAAAAAAAUUCAAGCUGAAAAUCCUGAAGCUGAUAUAGAAGGAGAAGAGGGGAGAACUUCAUCAUUUGAAAUCACUAUAAAUGGAAUUUUAGUUUAUUCAAAAUUAGAAACAAAUAAAUUCCCAGUAACUAGUGAGAUUAUAAAUCUAGUUGAAAUGGCAAGCAAAAAUGAAGAAAUAGAAAAAACACAA